rnacentral:rRNA from 1 species
GACGAACGCUGGCGGUGCGCUUCACACAUGCAAGUCGAACGAGAAGCCCGGGCUUGCCCGGGUGGACAGUGGCGAACGGGUGAGUAACACGUGAGCAACCUGCCCCGAAGACCGGGAUAACACCGGGAAACCGGUGCUAAUACCGGAUGUCCUCGCCGGACCGCAUGAUCCGGCGAGGAAAUGGUCAGCCGCUUCGGGAUGGGCUCGCGGCCUUUCAGCUUGUUGGUGGGGUAACGGCCCACCACGGCGACGACGGGUAGCUGGUCUGAGAGGAUGUCCAGCAACACUGGGACUGAGACACGGCCCAGACUCCUACGGGAGGCAGCAGUGGGGAAUCUUGCGCAAUGGGCGAAAGCCUGACGCAGCGACGCCGCGUGCGGGAUGAAGGCCUUCGGGUUGUAAACCGCUUUCAGCAGGGACGAAAUUGACGGUACCUGUAGAAGAAGCCCCGGCCAACUACGUGCCAGCCGCCGCAGUAA